rnacentral:tRNA from 5 species
GGAGGCGUGUCCGAACUGGCUAAGGAGCCGGUCUCGAAAACCGGUGGGCCGCGAGGCCCUUGUGGGUUCGAGUCCCACCGCCUCCGCCA